CCGGCUGAGCGCUCGGAGUCCCGGCCCGGGCCCCGCGCAGCGCGGGGUCGCGCAGUCAAGGUGGCCGGGGUGGCGCGGGCGUCGGUCCGGAGAGAAUCGCUGCAGGCUUACCUGCGGGAGAGGGCUCGCUGGCUUCUCUGUGGAGUUUGGACUUUGGUGCUUGAAUCGAGCAUUUCCUCGUGGGGUUCCUGCCUCGCUAGGGUGCCGCUGGGUGGAGCGUUCCCGUUUGAAGAGUGAGUGGUGGGAACGAAU
rnacentral:lncRNA from 1 species